CAAGAGUAGGAGGAAGAGAUGUGGGGUUGACCUUGGAAGGUAUCAGUCCAGGGAGCCAGUGGUGUCAUGGGGAUGCCCUUUCUUUCCAUUUCCAGAUUGGUACUAAUGAUUUGUUUGGUUUCCUUCUUUUCUACAGCAAAGCAUACUUAUUUCAUGCAAUAGGGACAGAGGGUCACUCCUGCUGAUAUCUUCUUUUGCAUCAUCUCACAUCUACCUACCUACUGGUUGGAUGAUCCUAAGCUAAUUACCUCACUCCUCUAAACUGCAGCUGUCACAUAAGCAGUUCCAGUCUGGCAUGUAAGAAGCUUGGAAGUUGUCACUCAGCCCUAACAACAAGUAAAAAGCUGAAUAAACCAGGCACAGCGACUCUCAUCUGUAAUCCCAGCACUUGGGGAGGUUGAGGCGGUUCCAAUCACUUGAGCCCAGGAGUUCAAGACAAGCCUGGGAAACAUGGUGAAACCCCAUCUCUACAAAAAAAUACAAAAAUUAGCCUGGUAUGGUGGCGCACACCUGUAGUCACAGCAACUUCGGAGGCUGAAGUGGAAGGAUCACUUGAGCCCAGGAGUUGGAAGUUACAGUGAGCCAUGAUAGUGCCACUGCACUCCAGCCUGGGUGAGAGGGUAAGACUCUGCAACAACUCUUUUUAGAUCUCUAAGAGAGGUUAGAUUAUAGGGCAAACUGCUGUCCCCCAAAUUGGAGAGACCAACAGGGGAAUACAGAGAAUCACAACUCUGUGAGCAGGAAACCAUGAGUAGUAACCUCUGCAGCAACCGGUGCCCAUGUAGGAAAAUCUUAACUGUAAUUGAUGAAUUGCUGGAGGCUGAGUGUGGGCAAGUCAAAAACUCCAGGGGGACUCAGUCAUUAGGAGACCCCCACAUUUUUGUGUUUUACCUUUAGAAGCUCUACCACACCCCCACAGUGAAUAUUGGAGAAAAAUCCUGUCAUGCUUCUGCCAGGGGAAGGGGAAAAGAACUAUUUAAAAAUACACCAGAACACUCUGUUCUUCUGAACGUGGUCUGCUCUUAGGAGGAACUGCUUAGCCAGAGCCUAAACUUCAGGGGUUUUACCAACGCCUAACUGACCUGGAAGAAGGGAAAUACCCAAUUCUAAGUAAACUAGGAAUAGAGGGAAAUUUCCUCAACUUGAUAAAGAAUAUCUGAAAAAAACAAAAACAAAAACAAAAAAAACCCAAACACCCUACAGUUAACAUCAUACUUAAUGAUGAGAAACUUGAAGCUUUCCCAUAAAACCAGGAGCAAGGCAAAAUGUUUCCUCUCUCCACUGCUUCUGAAGAGCAGAUGAAAAAUUCUAGAUAAUACAGCAAGAAAGAAAAAAGAAAUAAAAGCUACAGAUUGGGAGGGAAAUAACAAAACUGUCUUUGUUUGCAGAUGACAUGAUUGUCUAUGAAGAAAACCUGAAAAAAAUUGGCAGAAAAGUCUCCUGGAGCUAAUAAGUAAUUAUAGGAAGGUUGAGGAAUACUAGGUUAAUAUACAAAAGUCAAUUGUUCUCCAAUAUACCAGUGUCUUAGUCUGUUUUAUGCUUCUACAACAGAAUACCCAAGACUAGGUAAUUUAUAAAGAACAGAAAUUUAUUUCUUACAGUUCUGGAGGCUGAGAAGUCCAAGGUUGAGGGGCUUACAUCUGGUGAGGUCCUUCAUGUUGUGUCAUCCCACGGUUGAAGGCAGAAGGGCAAGAGAGCAUGUAUAUAGAAGGAAAAGGAAGGAGAGGGCAGGGGGGAGGGAAGGAAGAGGAGGUGGGAGGGAAGGAGGGAGGCGGAGGGAAAGGGAGGGGAGGGGAGCCAAAUUCAUUGUUUUAUUAGGAACCCUAACCCACAAGAAGCAUGAAUCCAUUCAUUAGAACAGAGCCCUUCAUGUCCUAAUCACCUCUUAUAGAUCCCACCUCUCAGCACUGUUGCAAUGGGGAUUAAAUUUCUCUUCAUAAUAUAUUCAAUCCAUGACAACCAGCAAUGAACAAAUGAAAUUUGAAAUAAAAAAAAGUAUUUCCCCAAAAUAAAAUAUGUAUAAAUCUACCAAAAUAAAUACAAGAUCCAUGUGAGAAACACUGAAAAACUUUAAUGAAAGAUAUCAAAGAGGAACUAAACAAAUGGAAAAAUACUACGUGUUCGUGGAUGGGAAGAUUCAAUGUUGUCAAGAUGUCAGCUGUUGCCAACUUGAUCUAUAGAUUCAGUGUAAUCAAAAUUAAAAUCCCAGCGAGCCAUUUUGUGGAGAUUAACAGGUUGAUUCUAAAGUUCAUCUGCAGAGACAAAAGACCCAGAAGUGCCAACACAACAUUGAAGAAGAAUAAAGUUGGAGGACUGACACUAUCUGACUUCAAUAGUUAAUAUAAAGCUAUAGUCAUCUAGACAGUGUGGUAUUGGUAAAAGAAUAGACAAAUAGAUCAGUGGAACAGAAUAGAGAGCUCAGAGAUAAACCCUGCAGAUAGUGUAUGUCAAAGGAGCAAAGGCAAUACAAUGGAACAAAGAGUCUUCAACAAAUGAUCCCAGAACAACUGGACAUCACAUACACACAAAAAAUGAGUAAGACACGACCCUUACUUUCUUCACAGAAAUUAACUCAAAAUGGAUCGCAGACCUAAAUGUAAAAUGUAAAACUGUAACACUCCUAGAAUGUAAUGAGACAGGAGAAAAUCUAGAUGAGUAUGGGUAUAGUGAUGACUCUUUAGAUACAACACCAAAGACAUAAUCCAUGAAAGAAAUAAUUGAUAAACCAGACUUCACUAAAAUUAAAAAACUUCUGCUUUACAAAAGACAAUGUCAAGAUAAUGAGAAGAUAAUCCAAAGACUGGGAGAAAAUAUUUGCAAAAGACACUUCUGAUAAUGGACUGUUUUCCAAAAUACAAAAAAAACAAAAAACAAAAAACAAAAGAAAACCUCUUAAAACUCAGCAAUAAGAAAACAAACAACCCAAUUAAAAAAAUGGGCCAAAGAUCUUAACAGACACCUUACUAAAGAAGAUAUGCACAUGGCAAAUAAGCAUAUGAAGAGAUGUUCCAUAUCAUAUGUCAUCAGGGCAAUGCAAAUUAAAGCAACAAUGAAGUACCACUACAUACAUAUUAGACUGGUCCAAAUCUGGAACACUGACAACACCAAUUGGUGGUAAGGAUGUGGAGCAACAGCAACUCUCAUUCAUUGCUGGUGGGAAUGCAAAUUAUACAGCCACUUUGGAAGAUAGUUUUGUAGUUUCUUACAAAAUAAACAUUCUCUUACUAUAUAAUCCAGCAAUCAUGCUCUUUUGGUAUUAUGUCUACACAUAAACACGCAUAUGGAUGUUUAUGGCAGCUUUAUUCAAAAUUGCUAACACUUGGAAGCAACUGAGAUGUCCUUCGGUAGGUGAAUGGAUAAAUAAACUGUGGUACAUCCAGACAAGGGAAUAUUAUUCAGCACUAAAAAGAAAUGAGCUAUCACAUCAUGAAAAGACAUGGAGGAAACUUACAUGUAUAUUAUUAAGCGAAAGAAGCCAGUCUGAAAAGGCUACAUACUGUAGGGUUCCAAGUAUCUGAGAUCCCGAAAAAGGUAGAACUACUGAGACAGUAAAAUGAUCAGUGGUUGCCAGGGCUUAAGAGGAAAAGGGAGAUGAAUAGGUGGAGCACAGAGGAUUUUUAGAGCAGUAAAACUAUUCUAUAUGAUACUAUAAUGGUGGAUACAGGUCAUUAUGAAUUUGUUCAGACUCAGAGAAUGUACAACACAAAGUGAACCCUAAUGCAAACUAUAGUCUUUGGGUGAUAAUACUGUGUCAAUAUAGUUUCGUCAAUUGUAACAAAUGUACCACUGUGGUGAAGAUGUUAAAAUUGGGGGAUGUUGAAAAUGCCUGUGUCAGCACUGGGAAUAUAUGAGAAAUCUCUACCUUCUGCUCAGUUUUGUUGCAAACCUAAAACUGCUCUAAAAAAAUAAAAUCUACUUUUUUAAAAAAAGCAGCACACCUGAUUUUAUAACUAACCAGGUUGGGAAGGGCAAACAUAUAAAUCUUCUGGAUAGUCCUCUUUGUUUAACUUCACCUUUCUAAAGAGCAGCAGCUGGGUAGGUGUUGGCUGCUUUUCCUGCUAUGUAAAUGACAGGCCCUGGCCAGGAAUGCUUAACAGACAGGUGUGUCCCAGCCUCUCCCCUACUUUUACCCGUCAGUUGUUUUUAUUCCUAGGCUAGGUCUAAGGUGGAAAGCUUUUCCUAAGUAGGGGGUUGUGUUGGUCUUAAGGCUUAUCUAACUUGGACAUAGCCUCUUUAAGGAAAAAAAAAUCAAUGUAUGAAUAUAAAAUUAAGUACAAAGGCCCUCAGAAGAGGUCUGUAAAAAUGAGGAUUCUAAAGCUUAAGCUUUAUUACUUUCACAGCAGAUUUACCUCUGUACAACUUUCUCAUUUUGGAGCAAAUCAAAAGACUCUGUUUUACAAAUUGUCUAUGUUUUCAAUAUAUAUUAGUUAAACUGAAUUUUUGAAAUAAAAAGAAGAAAAAACCCCCAUAGAAAUGGAUCAUUUUGGCUGAGAACUGCAAAAACUCUGGGCACAAACACGUUAUUCACCCUCUCUUGAGAGACUUAGCCAUACUUUAGCAUGGCUUUUAGCAGCCUGAGCCUUGUCUCUGGGAAGACUCAAACACUUUUUGAGUUCCUCUCCGGAAGAGUUCAGUCCCUAACCUCCCUUUCUUGCAGCAUUUACUAAAAAGGGCUGACAAUUGUGAAUCUUUCCUCUGUCCCUUCCAGAUGUGUAUGCAUCUCCUGCAACUCAGGAGUGUCUUUCUCAAGGACUUGAAAGCCAUUCCUUUGAAAUAUAAUCCUCAGGAAGGUUAGGGCCUCUGUCUCAGUCUCUGUGGGAGGAUAGCAGCCUAACUUCAAUAACUGCCAGCAAGCAUUCACAGUUGGCUUAACUGUAUUUGCAUUGACCAACCUUUUGUAAUUUUUCACUUCCCUGAUUCCACUGAGCCUCCGCUCACGCCUCUCCUACUCUCUCAUUCUCCUUUAAAAACACCCAGUCACCUCUGUGCAAAUCUGAAUGGAGCUCAGCCCUUUCCCUUGUUGUCG
rnacentral:lncRNA from 10 species